rnacentral:rRNA from 1 species
UACGUAGGCAGCAAGCGUUGUUCGGAGUUACUGGGCGUAAAGGGUGUGUAGGCGGUUCUUUAAGUUUGGGGUGAAAUCUCCCGGCUCAACUGGGAGGGUGCGCCGAAGACUGCAGGGCUUGAGUAUGGGAGAGGUAAGCGGAAUUCCUGGUGUAGCGGUGAAAUGCGUAGAUAUCAGGAGGAACACCUGUGGUGUAGACAGCUUACUGGACCAUAACUGACGCUGAGGCACGAAAGCGUGGGUAGCAAACAGG